rnacentral:rRNA from 1 species
AUGGCGCAUUUCUGGUGGGGAGACGAGGAGAACCAAAAAAGGAUGCAUUGGAUGUCCUGGUGGAAAAUGCGUGUUCCUAAAAAUCAAGGUGGCACGGGAUUUCGUGAUAUUCACUGUUUCAACUUGGCGUUGCUCGCUAAACAAGCAUGGCGUCUUCUGGAUAACCCUGAUUCUUUGUGUGCUUCUAUCUUAAGGGCAAAGUACUACCCUGAUGGUGACUUGAUGAAUGCUAAACAAAGGAAAGGCUCUUCUUUUACAUGGCAGAGUAUUAUGGCAGACAUCAUUACCCUGAAAAGAGGCUAUAUCUGGCGAGUGGGGAACGGACAAAAAAUAAAUAUUUGGGAAGAUGCUUGGAUCCCAAACUGUGCUAAUAGGAGAAUUGUAACGCCGAAGGGGGGCAUCUCUUAA